CCUCUCGCGUUUCGCCCGCAGCCUUGCACGCCCUCGCCUUCCUCCCCUCGCGCAACCACGCGCACCGCCUCGCCCUUCUCCCUUCGCGAACACCGUCACCGCCGCAUCCUCGCCCACCUACAGCCAUCGUCGCCGCGCCGCCACUGCCGCCUCUUCCUCUCUUCAAUCUCGGCCCCGCCAGGCUGCCACCGCCUCCCUUUCCUCGCCCACUCCGCUUCGCUCUGCCAUAUCCGGCUCAGUGGUUGCCAGAUCCAGUAAGAGGAGCCUGGGAGGAGAAGGGAAGUUGAGAGGGACGCCAUCGCCUGGAGCGAGACACGCCCCAGCCGUGGCCCCGCGUCCGUCGCUCGCUGCGAGACAUGCUUUCCGCCCCGGUCGGUGCGGCGCCAAAUCCGCCUCGGGGAAAUCGGCUGACUCGCCGAUGUAUCCGGCUGCCCGGAGACGACGGACAUAAGCCGCCGCCAUAGUCCUCUUCUUCUCUCCCUCUUUGCGCUACUUGAUGUGCUGGUUCUUGCUCAAGGUCCACCAGAUCCGGUAGAAAGAGGUGGUAGGAGCAGUGGGCUCAGUGACGAGGUCAGGGAAGAGAAGGAAGGAGAAGGGCAGCUCAGUCAUGGCUGCCACGAGGACAGAUGUGGGUCGGCAGCUACUACGGCAAGGCCAGCGCCCAGUGCCACAUGUGCCGUUGUACAUGGCGCCUCGCCGCCCUCGCUUCCUCCAGUUGAAUCUCUUCUCCGUACUCUUCAGGUGAGUUUGAGAGCCACUAACCUGACCUUGCCAUAACUAAGUUUAGGCUAGUUGAGACAUGGUGGCAUAAGUGUGGCUUAGAAAUAGUUGGCCACAAGUGUGGCAAGCUUAGCUUCAAAUUUGAGAGUAUGACAUGUGGGUCCUAAGGCUAUGAAAGUGUGGCAUGACACAAUUGCCGUAACGAACCAAACACAUAUCUAAAAAAUUAUGGCAUACUUCCUCCGUUUCACAAUAUAAGUCAUUCUAACAUUUUCCACAUUCAUUUUGAUGUUAAUGAAUCUAAAUAGAUAUAUAUGUCUAGAUUCAUUAACAUCAAUAUGAAUAUGGGAAAUGCUAGAAUGACUUACAUUGUGAAACGGAGGGAAUAACUAAAGUGUGGUGUGGCAAAGUGUGGCAACCAACCAAACAACCCCUAAGCCAUGCUUCUUCUCCUAGCUAUGCUAACGGUUACUGGCUACUGUUACUACUGCUUGCUAUUUUACUGUUGUUGUAUUUCACGGAUAUUUGAUUUGGGCAUAGUUACUAUUGAUUAGGAUCUCACUAAUGCAGAUUUAAAGUAACUCAUGUGCUCAUCCAUUCCAUUGAAAAAUGGAACUUGCGCUGAGUUGGUGAUCUUUAGAUAUUACCGAUAAUACAAAUGUCUUUUUAAGUUUUUAUUUGUUGCAGUGUGUUAUUGGAAUGAGGGUCUUUUGGACUUGCUCUUGCCUAGAGCAACCGCUGAUUUUUCCCUCAUUAUGAACAUAUCAGGAAUGGCCAAUUCAUCACUGAAUAUUUUCUUGAUGUUCAUGAUUCCUAACACUAUGAAGGGAUGGCUGACAAUUUUGACUUUGGAGGGUUCAGUGGAAUCUAUUCAUGUACUGUGACCUGAAAAAUAUGAUAUUAUCAGGGAUUGCCAACUUGCAAAAUUGAUUUGAUUGAUAAGAAAUCCACGUCCCAUUUUCAAUGGCUCAAUGCGCUCAAGAGUCAAGAAUCUGUGCUGGUAAUGGUUGCUACACGAACUUUUCUGCAAUUACAGGUGAAAACAUUACAGCGUACAUUAUAGUUCAUCAUUCUAUCAUCGACAACUAAUAAGACUUUUACGGCUCCUUCGAUUACUCAGGCCUCGGUGCAGCUGUGCCAAUUGGAUUAGCAAUGAAAAUUCCUAGGCGUACUCACACAUUUGCAUGGGAAAACUCAUAUGUGAUUCCAAAACUAAUGUUGCAUCACAUAUCUGUUAUGUAAAUCAAAGUUAACAGUACAGCGAGCUUGAUGUUGCAAAUGUAUUGUCUUACACGAUUUGUCUAUUGCAGUUUUGCUAUAUAUGAAAUGCUUCUUGAAUGCAUCAGAA